UACGAAGGGGGCUAGCGUUGUUCGGAAUUACUGGGCGUAAAGGGCGCGUAGGCGGGAUGGCAAGUCGGUCGUGAAAUCCCUCGGCUCAACCGAGGAACGUCGAUCGAUACUGCUGUUCUUGAGGAUUGCAGAGGAGACUGGAAUUCCCGGUGUAGCGGUGAAAUGUGUAGAGAUCGGGAGGAACACCGGUGGCGAAGGCGGGUCUCUGGGCCACUACUGACGCUGAGAAGCGAAAGCAUGGGGAGCGAACAGG
rnacentral:rRNA from 1 species